AAAAUCCCGUUAGCGUAUAACCUAAAUGAUCGAAACGUCGGACCAAUGGGAUGUUGGACCAUUUAGGUGUCGGAAUAUUGCGAUAUCGGAAUAUUAUAGCUUCAUUUUAACUUGUAAUCUCAUCAUUCUUAUCGGUCAACAUAUCCAUACAAAGACAACUUCCUUGGCAUGGGCAUAUAUCAGUACAGCAGAGGUUUUGCUCAAAGCGGACACAAGAUCUACUAUAUACAGAUUGAAUUAAAAAUUGGGAAUGGACAUGAGGGAUUUGUCAAAGAGACACCAACCCGUUCAAAAAGCAGGCAACGGCCGAAGACCACCAAUGGGUCAUCAAUGCAGCAAGAAACUCCCAAACCCGGAGGCGUUCUUCAGCUGGCCCCUAAACAAAAAUGUACUAGUUUGAAAUGAUAAUGGACGUCAUACUAAGCUUCGAAAUAUACUCAAGAAAUUAAAAUAAAAAAUCAUACAAAACUAAGAAAGGCCAGAGGCUCCUGACUUGGGACAGGCGCAAAAUUGCGGCGGGGUUAAACAUGUUUUUGGAAAUCUCAACCCUCCCCCUAUACCUAUACCAAUGCGUGAACAGAUCAAAUCUUGUAGAAAGUUGGAUGACAUCAUACCGGACCGAUGUUGCCUUUUAGCCAACCAAAGUCAUACGGAG
rnacentral:lncRNA from 1 species